GGAAGGUUGCCGGAGUGGCUUAACGGCGCGGCUUUGAAACCCGAUGGUCUGGGAACAGACACCAGAGUUCGAAUCUCUGACCUUCCGCCA
rnacentral:tRNA from 2 species